AACGAACGCUGGCGGCAUGCCUAACACAUGCAAGUCGAACGAGACCUUCGGGUCUAGUGGCGCACGGGUGCGUAACACGUGGGAAUCUGCCCUUUGCUUCGGAAUAACAGUUAGAAAUGACUGCUAAUACCGGAUGAUGUCGAAAGACCAAAGAUUUAUCGGCAAAGGAUGAGCCCGCGUAGGAUUAGGUAGUUGGUGGGGUAAAGGCCUACCAAGCCGACGAUCCUUAGCUGGUCUGAGAGGAUGAUCAGCCACACUGGGACUGAGACACGGCCCAGACUCCUACGGGAGGCAGCAGUGGGGAAUAUUGGACAAUGGGCGAAAGCCUGAUCCAGCAAUGCCGCGUGAGUGAUGAAGGCCUUAGGGUUGUAAAGCUCCUUUACCAGGGAUGAUAAUGACAGUACCUGGAGAAUAAGCUCCGGCUAACUCCGUG
rnacentral:rRNA from 1 species